ensembl:snRNA U6 U6 spliceosomal RNA
GCGCCCACUUCCAAAGCACAUAUACUAAAAUUAGAACGAUGCAGAGAAGAUUAGCAUGGCCCCUGCGUGUAAGUUACAGAAUGAGGAAGAUAUGGUGUGCAUACGA